UGCGCCUGGUGGCACAGUGGCUAGCACGUACCUCUGGGAAAGGUGAGACGCGAGUUUGAAUACCGCGGAAGGUGCAG